rnacentral:tRNA from 1 species
AAAGACUUAAGAUAAGCCUUAGACCAAGAAUCUUCAAAACCCUAAGUAGGAGUCAAAGCCCCAACCCUUG